AGUGAACGCUGGCGGUAGGCCUAACACAUGCAAGUCGAACGGCAGCACAGGAGAGCUUGCUCUCUGGGUGGCGAGUGGCGGACGGGUGAGGAAUACAUCGGAAUCUACUUUUUCGUGGGGGAUAACGUAGGGAAACUUACGCUAAUACCGCAUACGACCUACGGGUGAAAGCAGGGGACCUUCGGGCCUUGCGCGAUUGAAUGAGCCGAUGUCGGAUUAGCUAGUUGGCGGGGUAAAGGCCCACCAAGGCGACGAUCCGUAGCUGGUCUGAGAGGAUGAUCAGCCACACUGGAACUGAGACACGGUCCAGACUCCUACGGGAGUAAGCAGUGGGGAAUAUUGGACAAUGGGCGCAAGCCUGAUCCAGCCAUACCGAGUGGGUGAAGAAGGCCUUCUGGUUGUAAAGCCCUUUUGUUGGGAAAGAAAUCCAGCUGGCUAAUACCCGGUUGGGAUGACGGUACCCAAAGAAUAAGCACCGGCUAACUUCGUGCCAGCCGCCGCCGUAA
rnacentral:rRNA from 1 species